rnacentral:tRNA from 1 species
GGGGUCGUAGCGAAGCCCGGCAUCGCAACGGGCUCCAGACCCGUGGGUCAAGGGUUCAAAUCCCUUCGGCCCCA